rnacentral:rRNA from 1 species
CAGCAGUGGGGAAUCUUCCGCAAUGGGCGCAAGCCUGACGGAGCAACGCCGCGUGAGUGACGAAGGUUUUCGGAUUGUAAAACUCUGUCCAGGGGGAAGAAACAAAUGACGGUACCCCUGGAGGAAGCCCCGGCUAACUACGUG